GACGAACGCUGGCGGCGUGCUUAACACAUGCAAGUCGAACGGUGAAGCUCCAGCUUGCUGGAGUGGAUCAGUGGCGAACGGGUGAGUAACACGUGAGCAACCUGCCCCUGACUCUGGAAUAAGCGCUGGAAACGGCGUCUAAUACUGGAUACGAGAAGGGUCCGCAUGGGCACUUUCUGGAAAGUUUUUCGGUUGGGGAUGGGCUCGCGGCCUAUCAGCUUGUUGGUGAGGUAAUGGCUCACCAAGGCGACGACGGGUAGCCGGCCUGAGAGGGCGACCGGCCACACUGGGACUGAGACACGGCCCAGACUCCUACGGGAGGCAGCAGUGAGGAAUAUUGCACAAUGGGCGAAAGCCUGAUGCAGCGACGCCGCGUGAGGGAUGACGGCCUUCGGGUUGUAAACCUCUUUCAGCAGGGAAGAAGCGAAAGUGACGGUACCUGCAGAAGAAGCACCGGCUAACUACGUG
rnacentral:rRNA from 1 species